rnacentral:rRNA from 1 species
GUGAGGAAUAUUGGACAAUGGGCGCAAGCCUUAUCCAGCCAUGCCGCGUGCAGGAAGACGCAUCUAUGGUGUGUAAACUGCUUUUGUACGGGAAGAAACACUCCCUCGUGAGGGAGCUUGACGGUACCGUAAGAAUAAGGAUCGGCUAACUCCGUGCCAGCAGCCGCGGUAAUACGGAGGAUCCAAGCGUUAUCCGGAAUCAUUGGGUUUAAAGGGUCCGUAGGCGGUUUAAUAAGUCAGUGGUGAAAGCCCAUCGCUCAACGAUGGAACGGCCAUUGAUACUGUUAGACUUGAAUUACAAGGAAGUAACUAGAAUAUGUAGUGUAGCGGUGAAAUGCUUAGAUAUUACAUGGAAUACCAAUUGCGAAGGCAGGUUACUACUUGUGGAUUGACGCUGAUGGACGAAAGCGUGGGGAGCGAACAGGAUUAGAUACCCGUGUAGUCC